rnacentral:rRNA from 1 species
UACGGAGGGUGCGAGCGUUGUCCGGAAUCACUGGGCGUAAAGGGCGCGUAGGCGGCCUGAUAAGUAGGGGGUGAAAUCCUGCGGCUUAACCGCAGGGCUGCCUUCUAAACUGUCAGGCUAGAGCACGGUAGAGGCAGAUGGAAUUCCCGGUGUAGCGGUGGAAUGCGUAGAGAUCGGGAAGAACAUCAGUGGCGAAGGCGGUCUGCUGGGCCGUUGCUGACGCUGAGGCGCGACAGCGUGGGGGGCAAACAGG